UUCCUGCAGAAAGCAGUAGAUAUUGCUUUG
rnacentral:piRNA from 1 species